GGGGGUGCACCGGUUUCGACUGGUACGGUUCGGGGUACAGGCUGCAGGUGGAGUGCCGACCUCCUGAUUCGGCAACAAUUUAACUGCCAACAACGACAGUUACGAUUACGCCUUAGCUGCGUAACCGCGUGGAACCCUUCCGCCGCUCUGAGGAAGGGCUUCCGCGUCGCAAUCAGGGCUGGCCGUAUGAAACCU
rnacentral:tmRNA from 1 species